GAGAGAGAGAGAGAGAGUAGUGGUCUAUUCAAACAUUAACCUUUUAAAUAUUCAAGGUCUAGAAAGAGAGAGAAUGCGUGAUAGUAAUUUUUAAAUAUAUUAGUGUUAAACUUAAACUUUAAAUCUUUUAAAGGUUCAAAGUUUAGAGAGACUGUGUGUGUGUGUGUUUUAAAGAUUUAAUGUUCAAAUCUCAUUACUUUAAA
rnacentral:misc_RNA from 1 species